GAAAUGCGAUAAGUAAUGUGAAUUGCAGAAUUCAGUGAAUCAACGAAUCUUUGAACGCACAUUGCGCCCGCCAGUAUUCUGGCGGGCAUGCCUGUUCGAGCGUCAUUACAACCCUCAGGCCCCCGGGCCUGGCGUUGGGGAUCGGCGGAAGCCCCCUGCGGGCACAACGCCGUCCCCCAAAUACAGUGGCGGUCCCGCCGCAGCUUCCAUUGCGUAGUAGCUAACACCUCGCAACUGGAGAGCGGCGCGGCCACGCCGUAAAACACCCAACUUCUGAAUGUUGACCUCGAAUCAGGUAGGAAUACCCGCUGAACUUAAGC
rnacentral:misc_RNA from 1 species